rnacentral:rRNA from 15 species
GAAGCUGGAUAUCUCGGAUUCCAUUUCGAUGAAGGUGUCAUAGUCAAAAUCGACCACAAUUCACCUGCAGAAAAGAGUGGA